rnacentral:rRNA from 1 species
AAACUUAAAUGAAUUGACGGGGACCCGCACAAGCAGCGGAGCAUGUGGUUUAAUUCGAAGCAACGCGAAGAACCUUACCAAGGCUUGACAUCCUCUGACAGCCAUAGAAAUAUGGAUUCCCUUCGGGGCAGAGAGACAGGUGGUGCAUGGUUGUCGUCAGCUCGUGUCGUGAGAUGUUGGGUUAAGUCCCGCAACGAGCGCAACCCUUAUCAUUAGUUGCCAGCACGUAAGGUGGGAACUCUAAUGAGACUGCCGGGGAUAACUCGGAGGAAGGUGGGGACGACGUCAAAUCAUCAUGCCCCUUAUGUCUUGGGCUACACACGUGCUACAAUGGCCGGUACAAAGGGCUGCGAAGCCGUAAGGUGGAGCGAAUCCCAUAAAGCCGGCCUCAGUUCGGAUCGUGGGCUGCAACCCGCCCACGUGAAGCCGGAGUUGCUAGUAAUCGCGAAUCAGCAUGUCGCGGUGAAUGCGUUCCCGGGUCUUGUACACACCGCCCGUCACACCAUGGGAGUUGGGAGCGCCCGAAGCCAGUGAGCUAACCAGCAAUGGAGGCAGCUGUCGAAGGUGAGACCAAUGACUGGGGUGAAGUCGUAACAAGGUAGCCGUAUCGGAAGGUGCGGCUGGAUCACCUCCUUUUG